CUGUUGCCAGCAAGUAAUGUUGGGACUCAGAUGGAACUGCCGGUAGACAAACCGGAGGAAGGUGGGGACGACGUCAAAUCAUCAUGCCCUUUAUGUCCUGGGCUACACACGUGCUACAAUGGCCUGUACAAAGGGCAGCAAAGGGGCGACCCGGAGCAAAUCCCAAAAAACAGGUCUCAGUUCGGAUUGCAGGCUGCAACUCGCCUGCAUGAAGGCGGAAUCGCUAGUAAUCGCAGGUCAGCAUACUGCGGUGAAUACGUUCCCGGGCCUU
rnacentral:rRNA from 1 species